rnacentral:tRNA from 1 species
GGGGCCGUAGUUUAGCCUGGAAGAACGCGGCCUUGGGGUGGCCGUAACCUGGGUUCAAAUCCCAGCGGCCCCA